AACGAACGCUGGCGGUAUGCUUAAUACAUGCAAGUCGAACGAGAACCCAGAGCUUGCUCUGGCGGAAAGUGGCGAACGGGUGAGUAACGCGUGGGUAAUGUGCCCUUUAGACUGGGAUAACUCUUAGAAAUGAGAGCUAAUACCGGAUACUCUUAUUAGACCUUCGGGAAAAAUAAGGAAAUGCUCCGGCGCUAAAGGAUCAGCCCGCGUCCCAUCAGCUUGUUGGUAGGGUAAAGGCCUACCAAGGCAACGACGGGUAGCUGGUUUGAGAGGAUGAUCAGCCACACUGGGACUGAGAUACGGCCCAGACUCCUACGGGAGGCAGCAGUAGGGAAUAUUGGACAAUGGGGGCAACCCUGAUCCAGCAAUACCGUGUGUGUGAUGAAGGCCUUCGGGUUGUAAAGCACUGUCAAGAGGAACGAAACUGACGGUACCUCUAAAGGAAGCACCGGCUAACUCUG
rnacentral:rRNA from 1 species